UUGUUGUAUAUCAUCAACAAGCUUAAGUUCAUUUUUUGUUGUUGGAAUGUGCGUGGCCUCGGUCAACCUCAGAAGUGUUCUGAUAUGCUAUAUGAACUUCUAUCCAUCCACCCCCAUGCAUGUUUUCUGCAGGAAACCAAACUCUGCACCUUCAAUGCUUUCAAACAAAAAACGUUUCUCCCUCACCAUCUAAACCUGCUGCACACUUUACCAGCCAUUGGCUCGGCAGAUGGUAUGCUCUCCGCCUUCUCCUCCUCCCACUUUCCUAUUAUUUCUACAAACUCUGGUGCCUACUCUCAAAUGUCCAUAGUCUCUUGCCUCGCCUCCCAUCAACAACUUGCAGUUACUAACAUCUACGCCCCCGCUAACCACGCCCUAAAACAUCUCUUCCUCCAGGAGCUCGCUAGCUUCGCGCCCUCGCCGGCCACCCCGUGGCUUAUUUUAGGGGAUUUCAACCUCCUUCGCCAUGCGUAUGACAAAAACACUCCAAAUUUUCGCCAAUCCAAAGCUGAUAUGUUUAACGCCUUCAUUCACUCCAAUGCUCACAUUGAGCUCCCUCUCCUGGAUCGCCGCUUUACAUGGUCUAGUAAGAGGGACCAACCCACUCUUGAGAAAAUUGAUGUCUUCGUCAACGUUGACUGGGUUCUCCUCUUCCCUAACACCAUUAUUGCCUCUCUAACUCACUUUGUCUCUGAUCAUGUCCCCCUCCUCAUCUCGAUUGAUACUAAUAUCCCGCGUCCUGCGCUUUUUCGCUUUGAAGCAAGAUGGGCCUGA
rnacentral:rRNA from 1 species